rnacentral:rRNA from 1 species
CUGACAUGCGUGCGAGUCGACGGGUUCUGAAACCUGGGAUGCGCAAGGAAGCUGACGAGCGGGAGGCCCUCACGGGCCGCACCGCUGGCCGACCCUGAUCUUCUGUGAAGGGUUCGAGUUGGAGCACGCCUGUCGGGACCCGAAAGAUGGUGAACUAUGCCUGAGCGGGGCGAAGCCAGAGGAAACUCUGGUGGAGGCUCGACGCGAUACUGACGUGCAAAUCGUUCGUCUGACUUGGGUAUAGGGGCGAAAGACUAAUCGAACCAUCUAGUAGCUGG